rnacentral:lncRNA from 1 species
GCACACGCGGGUUCAGACUCCAGCUGCCUCCCACUAAGCCAGCCACGGACUUCACAAAAACAUAAAACCAUGCCACUCCACUCCCUGAAUUUGUUACUGAAGAACUAUUUUUUGCAGAAAUUUUCCAUUAACAUAAACAAGCCUGUCAUUUUUCAACAAGUAUAAACUGCAUUUAACUGCCAAUGUGCUAAAAACCAACCGAUGAAACGGAAGCUCUGUGGCGUCCCAACACCAGUCAAUUGGAGAACUGCGGCUGCUCUAGACCCGGGGCUGGUGACCGUGGGCCUGUGAGCCUGAUCCAGCCAUGGUCUGUUUUGCAAAUUGCCGCACUGGCAUGUCCACAGUCCACCCCCCCCGCCCCCCCGCGGCUUGGCAGGGUGGGGGCCGCCCCGGACCUGGGCCCAGAGCCCCUGGCCCUUUACAGACAACAAGGUCUGCUGACCCAAGACCGCCCGGCCCCUUGGCAAGCACAACAGAAGAGGACCCCAAGCCAUCACAGAACCUUGGCACAAAACCAGGGCUUAUGUCAGCAGUUCUUGCCUAAGGCCCCUGAAAACUGACACCAGAGCGGAGCAACCACCUCCGAAAACCCUCCUUCGCAGAAACACUGGUCAAGCGCUGUGCCCACCUGCACUGAACCCUGCAGGCAGCCUCACCCAGCUCCCCAGGAGCGGAGUCAAGGGAGCCGGCCUCACGGCAGCCUCCUCCAGAGGAAGGGAACCCCCACUCUGCCCAGGGUCCCGCGAAGCCCGCGGCAGCCACUCCAGGGUGAGGAGUCGAGGCCCAGGACACUGACUUCGCUGCAGAGCUGGCAGAGAGCACCUGCUCCCUGGAGUCUGCGUGCCAGGCUUUCUCAGCGCACGCCCGCCGCCAGAGCUGGGGGGCGGGGGUCGCUCCACAUCGCCUCCAGCCCGGACCACCUUAUCCGCGUGAAGACCCUCGAUCACAGAGAAGACCGUGAAUCUCUUCUGAGUCACCCAGCAAUCGCGUUUUAAUUCUUUCCCGCGUUCGCUAGCUGUCGAGGUUCCCGGACAGUUGGGCCGGGGUCCGACCCCGAGACCCAGCGCGGGCAUGCAGGAGGCGCUCAAUAAACGCGGACAAAGGAAGGAGAGCAAGAGCUACUGGCGCGGGCCACAGCUGGACACACAUUCCUGUCACCCACGGCGUGAGGGGCUCGCGCUGCUGGGCAUU